rnacentral:rRNA from 1 species
CACGUAGGCUGUUUGGUAAGUCAGGGGUGAAAUCCCGCGGCUCAACCGCGGAAUUGCCCUUGAUACUGCUGGACUUGAGUCCGGGAGAGGGUGGCGGAAUUCCAGGUGUAGGAGUGAAAUCCGUAGAUAUCUGGAGGAACAUCAGUGGCGAAGGCGACCACCUGGACUGAUACUGACACUGAGGUGCGAAAGCGUGGGGAGCAAACA